UGCUUCGCGGCGUCGCGGUCAUCGUUUUGCGGGGGUGGAAGACUCAUAUUUUCUUGUACAAAUCUCGCCCACAUGCCAAGAUGUACAGGCAUCUGUUAAGGUUGAGGUGCACACUUGAACGAGAUAGUCGGCGAUCACAACUUGAAAAAAAGUGCAAAAAUAUGCAGUGAAAAAGGAUGGAAACAUGCCCACCGUGAAGGGGCCGUUAAAAGAUCUCUUGAUGAAUGCCAUGGCCUACUUCAAAGAGUUUGCUCUCUCUGAGCUUGAUGCAAAGAAGUUCCAGCCUGGUCAAUGUAAAGGCCAAUCGAGGCCAGAUACGGUAUGGAAGAGGUGCGUGAUCCGGAGCCAUAAUGAUCACAUGCCCCGGCCGUGCUGCUUCCGUGUGGGAACCGGUGUACAUUCUCCUUAAGGCACAUCAGACCAGAUCCAGUUCCUGGUGACGACGGUCACAGUGUUUGGCUCGUGGAUGAUGAAUGAGCCUGUCAGAUUAGGAACAAUUUGAUCGUGUCCAUUGGCUUCAAGUUUAAUAUUGCUGAUCGCAUCUUGAGUGACAGAGCAUGCAGGUAUAUGUUUAGACGUUACCAUUUGGACUGGCAUUUCCUGGCAAUGUGCCUGCAAAAUGCUGAGAUUCAAGUUAUAUUGACAAUGUGAUUAUUGGUAUCAAAAGGGCUUGGGCUUUUUGCUGGAACCACAAAUUGCCUUAAAGACUGGCAUGGCAUUGUAAUGGCAGUGUUCAAAUGUCCAGCCCAUCCAAUUAUUAAAGUUUGUAUUCUGUCGACAGAUGUUUUUGUAUGUGUU